rnacentral:sRNA from 1 species
AGCGCGCCCCGACUUGAACGGAGCUCUUUUUUUGUCAUUGCGAUUGUAGAAAGGUUCUACAGAUUGUUUCACGUUGUUCGCAAUGACAGAAAAAGCGGGAGUGGAAGGCGGAUAAAGGC